UACGUAGGGUGCGAGCGUUGUCCGGAAUUACUGGGCGUAAAGAGGUCGUAGGUGGUUUGUCGCGUUGUUCGUGAAAACUCACAGCUCAACUGUGGGCGUGCGGGCGAUACGGGCAGACUGGAGUACUGCAGGGGAGACUGGAAUUCCUGGUGUAGCGGUGGAAUGCGCAGAUAUCAGGAGGAACACCGGUGGCGAAGGCGGGUCUCUGGGCAGUAACUGACGCUGAGGAGCGAAAGCGUGGGGAGCGAACAGG
rnacentral:rRNA from 1 species